rnacentral:rRNA from 1 species
GACGAACGCUGGCGGCGUGCUUAACACAUGCAAGUCGAGCGGAAAGGCCACUUCGGUGGUACUCGAGCGGCGAACGGGUGAGUAACACGUGAGUAAUCUGCCCCUGGCUUUGGGAUAGCCACCGGAAACGGUGAUUAAUACCGGAUACGACCACUUCUCGCAUGGGAUGGUGGUGGAAAGUUUUUUCGGCCAGGGAUGUGCUCGCGGCCUAUCAGCUUGAUGGUGAGGUAAUGGCUCACCAUGGCUUCGACGGGUAGCCGGCCUGAGAGGGUGACCGGUAACACUGGGACUGGGACACGGCACAGAAUCCUACGGGAGGCAGCAGUGGGGAAUGUUGGACAAUGGGCGGAAGCCUGAUCCGGCAACGCCGCGUGAGGGAUGACGGCCUUCGGGUUGUAAACCUAUUUCAGCAGGGACGAAGCGCAAGUGACGGUACCUGCAGAAGAAGCACCGGCCAACUACGUGCCAGCCGCCGCGGUAA